rnacentral:lncRNA from 1 species
ACCUGCCUUCUGCCCUUAGGCUCCGGUAGACUGCAAAUGACCUGCUUUCUUUCUGUUCCCGGGCUGCGUUUGGACCCCUGUCGGAUAGUAAAUCCCAAGUAAGGUACCUGCCCUCGGCAGAUUUGAGCUUUCUUCUUGGACACCUAAUACCCACAGUCCCCCAGGCUCCGGUAGACUGCAAAUGACCUGCUUUCUUUCUGUUCCCGGGCUGCGUUUGGACCCCUGUCGGACAGUAAAUCCCAAGUAAGGUACCUGCCCUCGGCAGAUUUGAGCUUUCUUCUUGGACACCUAAUACCCACAGUCCUCCAGGAAUGGAACAGAUAAGAAGAUACUGAAAUUGGACGGUGCUGCCGUGCGGCUGCCGCAGGACACCUUUAAUAUCCCUGUUUCUCAGGCUGUAGAUGAAGGGGUUCAGCAUGGAGGUGAUCACCGUGUACAUCACUGAGGCCACUGCAGCCUUUCUCGGGGAAGAUGACACAUCUGAACUGAGGAUAACUUCAGGAAGUGGGUAUUAAUUCUCACGGUAUAAGUGAAGACAUUAAGCACCAGAGUUUAAGUAGCUUGAUCCACUGAAAGAGAUUCAACUGUGUGGAACCUAUGCCGUGGAGAAUUGCUUUCUGCCAUUGUUAUCGUCCAGCAGUUGCCGAAUAGCUCUGACCUGAGCAAAGCAGUGAAACGCGGUGCUGUUGAGUGGGUUGCCACUGCACCUUUUUCAACUACUCUAGUCUUGUGGAGAAAAUACCCCUUCUAAAUUUUUUCUUCAUUGAAUACUCUCCCUCAGCUCCAGAGUACCAUAUAGAGUUUUCUUGUAUUUUAGAGUUACUGUUUUAUCAAAGUUUACCAGUCUUUUGUAUUACAUUUCUCCUGUCUAAA